GGGGGGGGGGGGGGGGGGGGGGGGGGGGGGGGGGGGGGGGGGGGGGGGGGGCCUGCGAGCCCCGCUCACCCGUGCCAACAG
rnacentral:miRNA from 12 species